GAUGAACGCUGGCGGCGUGCCUAAUACAUGCAAGUAGAACGCACAGUUUAUACCGUAGCUUGCUACACCAUAGACUGUGAGUUGCGAACGGGUGAGUAACGCGUAGGUAACCUGCCUGGUAGCGGGGGAUAACUAUUGGAAACGAUAGCUAAUACCGCAUAAUAUUAAUUAUUGCAUGAUAAUUAAUUGAAAGGUGCAAUUGCACCACUACCAGAUGGACCUGCGUUGUAUUAGCUAGUAGGUGAGGUAACGGCUCACCUAGGCGACGAUACAUAGCCGACCUGAGAGGGUGAUCGGCCACACUGGGACUGAGACACGGCCCAGACUCCUACGGGAGGCAGCAGUAGGGAAUCUUCGGCAAUGGACGAAAGUCUGACCGAGCAACGCCGCGUGAGUGAAGAAGGUUUUCGGAUCGUAAAGCUCUGUUGUAAGAGAAGAACGGGUGUGAGAGUGGAAAGUUCACACUGUGACGGUAUCUUACCAGAAAGGGACGGCUAAUUACGUG
rnacentral:rRNA from 1 species